rnacentral:ribozyme from 14 species
AUAAAACAAAGAGAGAACUGAUGAGCCCUUAUAUGAAGAAAGAGCUAUUAUAUACUAUUUCUUCUUGCCUUUUUUCUUUUUUCUUUU